CCUACGGGAGGCAGCAGUGAGGAAUAUUGGUCAAUGGACGCAAGUCUGAACCAGCCAUGCCGCGUGCAGGAAGACGGUUCUAUGAGUUGUAAACUGCUUUUGUACGAGGGUAAACGCAGAUACGCGUAUCCUUCUGAAUGUAUCUUACGAAUAAGGAUCGGCUAACUCCGUGCCAGCAGCCGCGGUAAUACGGAGGAUUCAAGCGUUAUCCGGAUUUAUUGGGUUUAAAGGGUGCGUAGGCGGUCGGAUAAGUUAGGGGUGAAAUCCCGGGGCUCAACUUCGGAAGUGCCUCUGAUACUGUUGGGCUGGAGAGUGGUUGAGGUAGGCGGAAUGUAUGGUGUAGCGGUGAAAUGCUUAGAGAUCAUACAGAACACCGAUUGCGAAGGCAGCUUACCGAGCUACAUCUGACGUUGAGGCACGAAAGCGUGGGGAGCAAACAGGAUUAGAUACCCCUGUAGUC
rnacentral:rRNA from 1 species